GACCCGGUAGCGGACGUUUCGCACCCGCCUUUCAGUUACAGCGGGGUCGCCUGUUCGACUCAGGCCCGGGUCA